rnacentral:misc_RNA from 1 species
GAUGAAGAACGUAGCGAAAUGCGAUACGUAAUGUGAAUUGCAGAAUUCAGUGAAUCAUCGAGUCUUUGAACGCACAUUGCGCCUCCUGGUAGUCCGGGGGGCAUGCCUGUCCGAGCGUCAUUGCUGCCCUCAAGCACGGCUUGUGUGUUGGGCCUCCGUCCUCCUCCCGGGGGACGGGCCCGAAAGGCAGCGGCGGCACCGCGUCCGGUCCUCGAGCGUAUGGGGCUUCGUCACCCGCUCUUGUAGGCCCGGCCGGCGCUUGCCGACACAUCAAUCUUUUUUCCAGGUUGACCUCGGAUCAGGUAGGAAUACCCGCUGAACUUAAGCAUAUCAAUAAGCGGAGGA